rnacentral:sRNA from 1 species
AUAAGUAGCAUGGGCAUUCGAAGUCGAUGUCUUGGAUCACCAAUAAUACCAGAACUACUCAUACGUGUAACCCCCAUCUAAUCCGCUAACCGUUCAUUCACAGUCAGCGAAGAAGGUUCCCCACCAAAACCCAAAAAAAAAACCAAGUUGAGACGACAUGACAGGCGCGAAGACAGAGACAGCCACACGUUUUUAAUCAAAAUUGUACAGGAAAUCAAAAAUCAGUUUUUCAAAAAAUAAAAAUCACAGUUUCUUAUCGCGAUGUUGAUUUGUGGCUGCCGUUUGUUGUUCUUCUCGUCUCAACUUAUUUUGUUAUUGUUUUUUUUCCCUCGGUUCUUUUUUUUUACCCCAAUUGCUUGGCCCAUCGGAAAUUUUGGGUUGGCAGGGCCGUUGUGGCAUGUAAUUUGAGGAAAGCAGCGCCGAAAGCAAACGCAGUAGCUAUGAAAUCAAUUAUGCGAUAAAGAUUUGACAGCACAACGCACUGAGCUGCGCUGCUGCUGGCACUCGAUAAUUAAUUUUAACGCUUUAUCGCAAUUGGAGGUGCGCCUUAUGGAAGGGGCCUUAACUUUAAGGUGGGGAUCGGGAUCCGAAAGAUAGUAGCUGCCGAUAGCCGUCCGAUUUGAUUGAAGUCUGUCCAGCAGGGGCUACGUCUCUAAUCUGUGACACAAUUGGUAAGAAGUUAUGAGUGUGCCUAUGAAUUUAUUAGAGGCCUUUCCUUACCAUCAUAUCCCCUGUACAUUGGGUAAAUACAUGGAUUUUGGUGCGUUUGCUGGGGACGGUGAGCGAUGCUUUCCCAAGAUAUGCAAACGAACUCAAUUAUUUAUUUUAUCACAAAUGAUUUUGCUUAUCAAAUCUAGCAAUCGCUUCAUCUUUGUCUCAGCCAGAAAACCACAAUGACGAAGGGCAGCAGAAGACCUUUCUCAGGCCCAAAGAAUCCACUCCACUCCACUCCACUCGUCUGCCCUUCUUGAGUUUUUCUUACAAUUGCUUGGGUUCGGUCCUGAUUGAGGCCGCCAUUAUUCAAGGAGCCCAGCCAAGCUCCUUGUCCCGCUCUCUCCAUCUCUCUUGCUCUCUCUCUCUCUCUCUCCCUCUGUUUCGGUGGCAUCUUUUUGGCGCUAUCUUUGCGUUGAAAUCUCCACAGUUCAUGUCAAAUUUCUUGUGUUUUUAUAUAUCAUUCGACUGGCUGUGGCUUCCUUGUAAGUAUGUAAAUGCAGCAACGGCCGCUGGCAGCAGCUGCAUUUUGCAUGCCCCUCCACAUCGAAAUCCUCGGAUCCUAACCCAUGCCCCCCUCCAUAGCCCCGUUCCAGCUUUGAGUGAUUGUCAGGGGUUUAUCUUUUGAUGGGGCCUGGCUUCUGUUGCCAGAGAUACAGUACAUGUAUCUGUAUCUGCGACGGAGGCUUGUUAAUUAAGUUUCAAGCAGGUUUCGUCUGGGCGUUGCUCGAAAGUCAAUUUUUAGCACCUAUUGACAUGCAAAGGACCCGCAUGCCACACACCCAAACCGUUCCACAAAUUCCGAGGGCUUCAGACACAAGCAAAGAUAGUGAUGGGAAAAGUACUGAUUAUACAGAUACAAACGAAAACUGCAGUUUGGAUUUGGGCCCCAGGAAAGCAAAUCAAUCAAUUCAACACGCAAAGUUGUUGCCGAUAAUUUCUCUAUUUUGACUCGACCGAAGACGAGAAGACGAGGGGCAAUAAAUAAUAACUCAAUACAAAUCCCAAUUACAGGACGAUUGCCACCCGCCUUGCCGGAAUCGAGGAGCCAGGACCAACGACCAAGGACGAGGGUAACACAGACCAACCCUCUGAGCAUGGGCCAAAGCAGAGCAAAGCAAGGCAAAGCGAAUCCUGGCCGCCUUCGAUUGUCCUUUUUGCCACCCGUACAUAUAUCUGUGUGUGUUCCCUUCAUUUGAUUCGAUCAGCGGGGUUUCGCCUCCAUCAACCACAAAAACAACCAAGGCCAAGGACUGACGGCAUAGCCAGAGGGUUUCCCCUUCCAUACCCUCCAGUCGAGUCGAUUUCGGGCUUAUCCUGCAACCGGCACAUAAAUCGUCGGGCUGCUCCUGCUUCUCCUUUAUUUAAAUUUUCAUUUAAUUUGUUAUUUGUUUACAUGAAACACACCGAUGUGCGACGACAGCGACGGAGGCGACAUAUGACAACAUUCUCAGCCGGUCACAAUUGCCAUUGUCUGAGUGUAGGACUCGAUCGAAGGGAGGGGGGUGAGCGUUUGGGUCAGGACCCCGGCGUGGUAGUGGUCAACGUCAUCUAUUGUGACCACACACCUGGCCGGUGAGCGGAGGAGGAUGGGUCAGUCGUGGGCCACUGUUUGGCAACAGUUCCUAAUUGCUGCAUUCAAAUGGUGACUCCAUUGUGGAGGAGGCACGUAAAUUCCGGGGCGGGAACAGAAGCUUGGCAAAUUAAUUCCUCGGAGACCGAAAACACAUAGCUCCACAGGGCAACAAACUAUUUAUGCAAAUCAGCAGAGAAACCCCAUUUUGUGAGCCCCACCCCGGAGCAUUUAACGCAGUUUAAGCUCACCCGAGCAAAGUAGUUCAGUUCAACGGAGGGCAGCCAAACUGGCCACAUACCCAUAGAUGUAUUCAAAAAUCUUCCCAGCGAUAAGCCGGAGACCAUAAAUACGACAUCCGAGCGACGAUCUUCGGCGAAUUAGCGGCGCGGAGAUCGGGCCUGGGGUAUCUGGACAGCAUCUCUAACAAAUUAAGUGGACAACCAUAAAUCAAAUGGCUGACGACGAAUUUCGAAUGAAAAAUCAAUAAGCAGAAAACUCUAUUCGCUGCGAGGGAGUGGGGCACCUAAAUCAGAAACCGAAUUCCGUAUUGGAGUUCCAAAUCGAAUACGGAUUCGGAAUGGGAAUGGGGCUCGGAGAUCUGUGGCCAAGCAGCGAGCUGCGUGUUUAACAACAAACAAUUAAGAUGGCGUCCAAUCGAUAAGGGCCCUAAAACCAGAGACACAGAAAACGCAGCCAGGAAAGGGUACCAAAUCGUCAGCAAGCAGUUAACAGAAGUCGUGGCCAAUGGGCGCUGAUGAAACAAAUGGACCAUAAUGAAAUAAUUAUGACUGCGCUUGGGCAUCGGACAUGGCCUAUGAUAGACCUGCCUUCGUUUCCAUCCAAAGACGCAUUCAAAACCAGCUCUCUGAUUGAGGCUCCAAAACAAUGCCAGGCACUUUAUCAGCCAACCGAUCGAAUCGUGGCGACUCGCUCGCUGCCAAAGGAUAUGCUUGUGUUUUUGCUUAUCGACGUCUUGGCAUCUGCCAGCGCGAUGCCAGUUGAUGGACUUUGAUUGCCGCUUUUGGCCAUGCGUGAUAUUUAUUUGUUAGUUGACACAAAACGCUGAUUGCUGGACCAGAGCACAGUGGUCGAGAGAUGGCAGAAAUCGAAUAAAAAAAUUCCGAUUAUUUGUCUUUUGUUGGGACAACAUUAAUAGUUUCGUGCAACACCUUUAGCUGAAUUCCCAUUCAGGCUGCAGUUCCAGUAAAUAAGUCUUCCUUUCACCAAGGUGCCCAGUUCAUCCUUUUGGCAUGUGGCCCGUGCACAAUUGAGUGGCCAAGAUGAAAAAUGAGUCCCGAACCGGGCCAGCGAGUGGAAACAUUUUUAAUUUCGCCUGCCAUUGUGAGCUGAAAAAAAAAGAAAUACAAAAAAUGAGCAGCAAAAUUGUAAACAUUUUUGCGCGCCAGCAUCAAGAUAAAACCAAUCGGCCAACCGACAACUGGAGGAGCUCAAACCAAGGCAAAAACCAGGCGAGCCACAAUGGAUUCUCUCCUGAGGACUAUUUGGACAGCGAGAAAUGACACGUGAUGGGCGGAUGGUCCUCGGAAGCGAGAUGGUGGCGACAAAAACCCGGUUGAUAACCCAGACAAAAAGCGACUCCACUUUUUGUUUCCUCUCCUCUAUUUUUUUGUGUGUGUGUCUGUGUUUUUGGUCGACAAGAGACCCAGAGAUUAUAGUCAAUCAGCUGCUCCUGUGGCUGAUUUUUCUGCCGAUUCGACCAGAUCAUUUGAAUAGGUGCGAACCAGAAGCGAUCGCAGCGAUAAGAUUCAGAAGCAGGAAGUUGAGGCCACGAAUUAUGACUAUAUAUAUGGGCAGGCUAUAGGGGUCCCACUUCCAGCAACUCUGCGGCAUCCAAUUAAAUUGAAUUUCGAAACGAUGCUACUGCGAUAAAUUGAGCAAACAUUUUUCGGUGUGUUUGGUUUCCUUUUUACUUUAUGGGCAUUAUGGUUUUGUGGCAUAGUCCAGCAAACACCCAACGAAUCGAAGACAAACAAGCAGGCCGAGGCGUUCAGGGCAAACACAAGAAUCGGAGUCGAUUAUCUAAAUUUGAUAAGGCAUACGUAUGUUUACACUGGAAUAAAUAAAGGGCCAUAGAUCUUAUAAAAAAAACACUACAAAAAUUGUAGCAUAACUCCUUAAAAGCUGCCUAUGAUGCACAUUUACAUUUUUAGCUUAAGGUCAUAUAUGC